UUUUCCUUAGAAUUGUGCUAAAGAAGAACCUGAGGGAAGAAGGGCUGCCUAAGACUGAGGUUCCCUUUUUUAACCUCUGCAGUGAUUUGAAGAGGAUUGCCAUUGCACCCUGAAAGUUCCCCAAUUCAAAUAUGAGAUGCUAUAUUUCUGGGAAGAGAGGCCCAAGCUAUCAUUGGUUAUGCUUAUACAGCUGCAAACACUGUAAGAUAGAGCGAUGAAGAUCCUUAAGCUGUUUCAGGCUUGAAAACAGUGAUCUUCUGAAGAGCCUUUUGUUCUGACUGGUGUGUGCUACUUCACCAUGUAUCCUGCCCACAAUAGUUCCUUCGAGAUGUUACUGAAUUACAAGGUCUGAGAAAUCCCAACCACUAGCCAACAGAUCCCUAAGAAGAGCAUCAAGACACAAAGGGAUGUGUUCUUCACUGCAAGUAAUUUCUCUUCAUUUCUCACAUUUUUUUUCACCUGUAAUUACCAGGUAAAAGAGCCAUCAAUGUGCUUUGGUUUGCAGCAUGUUUGGAAAGAUUUUAUGCAAAAUAAAGCCCUAGUCCAGAAAUCAGAAAUAUUUGGCUGGCCUUCAUAUCUGUGUGACCAUACUUUUGAUUUCAGUGGCUCUCUGCAAGGCUACUGGAAUACCUUCUCAUAUGUCAGACUACCAUUGGUCAACUAGUGAGCUUAUGAACACUGUACAUACAGAUUUGUACUGGUUUGGUUUUUGGAAGUGUUUCUAAGUAAAAUUUGUGUCAAGGAAUUGACAAAAGUAAUCUAUUCCACUCUGAAAACUCUAAAGUUGUACUCCUGCAACUAGGGAUUGUCAGGUCUGUUUGGGCCACUAAACUGUCAGACGUUCUGUUCACUGCUCUUAUGUCUCUCUUACUUUUGCGUCCUGUGAAGCACUGAAAAGAUGUUCUCCCCUCUCUUUUCAGGAAUUUUUUAGAGAAGGGGAAGGAAAGGGAUUAUUCUACAUUAGAAUAAUGGUGUUGUAGACACUGCCAGGGGAUGAUCUAG
rnacentral:lncRNA from 1 species